GACGUUGAAAGUGUAAUUGUUCACUACAAACGGAUAAACAGACUUUGCAGCAGAUACCAAUGCUCACAGGUACAGCAGGCGAUCGGGCAGAUAGUUUACAGAGAUUCAUGUAAUACUGACUGCCAAAAAUUUGAAAUAUUUCAAUUGGAUGAUUACGUUGGGUCUUGUGACGUCAUACACAGUGAAGAUGGUGGUUUUACGUUAUAUUAUUGCAUAGAAAAAUGUUUAGACUUACCCGGCUGUAGAGGAACUACUUUCAAUUCAACUACGGGAAGAUGCGAUUAUCAUAAUUGUACAAAUCGUACAGCAGCACCGGGCCUGACCUUCAUUUGGAAACGAUGUAUUGACACUGAAUCUCCACGAACUACAAUACAGAUAUGCUUAGGCUGUUCUAAGAGUAAUUUAUGCCAAUCAGUGCGACAUAGUUUAGUUACUGUACCGACAUGGCAAAAUUGUAAGACGCAGUUUGAAAGUUCUUCAAUAGAAGGCAUUGCCGUAUACAACGGUUUAAACGGACAAUGUGAACUAUUUGAUUGUACGUUGGUGAAACAACAUGCAAAUAAAAUUACUUUUAGGGUGUUACGGAGAUCGCCGA